CCUACGGGAGGCAGCAGUGGGGAAUUUUGGACAAUGGGCGAAAGCCUGAUCCAGCCAUGCCGCGUGCAGGAUGAAGGCCUUCGGGUUGUAAACUGCUUUUGUACGGAACGAAACGGUCUCUUCUAAUAAAGGGGGCUAAUGACGGUACCGUAAGAAUAAGCACCGGCUAACUACGUGCCAGCAGCCGCGGUAAUACGUAGGGUGCAAGCGUUAAUCGGAAUUACUGGGCGUAAAGCGUGCGCAGGCGGUUAUAUAAGACAGUUGUGAAAUCCCCGGGCUCAACCUGGGAACUGCAUCUGUGACUGUAUAGCUAGAGUACGGUAGAGGGGGAUGGAAUUCCGCGUGUAGCAGUGAAAUGCGUAGAUAUGCGGAGGAACACCGAUGGCGAAGGCAAUCCCCUGGACCUGUACUGACGCUCAUGCACGAAAGCGUGGGGAGCAAACAGGAUUAGAUACCCUGGUAGUCCACGCCCUAAACGAUGUCAACUGGUUGUUGGGUCUUCACUGACUCAGUAACGAAGCUAACGCGUGAAGUUGACCGCCUGGGGAGUACGGCCGCAAGGUUGAAACUUAAAUGAAUUGACGG
rnacentral:rRNA from 1 species